rnacentral:lncRNA from 1 species
CUUUCCAUGUUGUCAACACAAUCCCCAGCUGUAUGGACCUGCUUUCCAUGUUGUCAACACAAUCCCCUGCUGUAUGGACCUGCUUUCCAUGUUGUCAACACAAUCCCCAGCUGUGUGGACCUGCUUUCCAUGUUGUCAACACAAUCCCCAGCUGUGUGGACCUGCUUUCCAUGUUGUCCCCAAAACAUCGUUGGUACUUUUUCUGUCAUUUUGUUUGGUUGCUUUUAGCGUUGUUGCUUUCUGUCUGUCUGUGUUACUGGUUAUAUGUUGCUCUGUCUGUCUGUGUUACUGGUUAUAUGUUGCUCUGUCUGUCUGUGUGUUACUGGUUAUAUGUUGCUCUGUCUGUCUGUGUUACUGGUUAUAUGUUGCUCUGUCUGUCUGUGUUACUGGUUAUAUGUUGCUCUGUCUGUCUGUGUUACUGGUUAUAUGUUGCUCUGUCUGUCUGUGUUACUGGUUAUAUGUUGCUCUGUCUAUCUGUGUGUUACUGGUUAUAUGUUGCUCUGUCUGUCUGUGUUACUGGUUAUAUGUUGCUCUGUCUGUCUGUGUUACUGGUUAUAUGUUGCUCUGUCUGUCUGUGUUACUGGUUAUAUGUUGCUCUGUCUGUGUGUUACUGGUUAUGUUGCUCUGUCUGUCUGUGUUACUGGUUAUAUGUUGCUCUGUCUGUCUGUGUGUUACUGGUUAUGUUGCUCUGUCUGUCUGUGUUACUGGUUAUAUGUUGCUCUGUCUGUCUGUGUGUUACUGGUUAUGUUGCUCUGUCUGUCUGUGUGUUACUGGUUAUAUGUUGCUCUGUCUGUCUGUGUGUUACUGGUUAUAUGUUGCUCUGUCUGUCUGUGUUACUGGUUAUGUUGCUCUGUCUGUCUGUGUUACUGGUUAUAUGUUGCUCUGUCUGUCUGUGUUACUGGUUAUAUGUUGCUCUGUCUGUCUGUGUGAUACUGGUUAUAUGUUGCAUUGUCUGUCUGUGUUACUGGUGAUAUGUUGCUCUGUCUGUCUGUGUUACUGGUUAUAUGUUGCUCUGUCUGUCUGUGUUACUGGUUAUAUGUUGCUCUGUCUGUCUGUGUGUUACUGGUUAUAUGUUGCUCUGUCUGUCUGUGUUACUGGUUAUAAGUUGCUCUGUCUGUCUGUGUGAUACUGGUUAUAUGUUUCUCUGUCUGUCUGUGUUACUGGUUAUAUGUUGCUCUGUCUGUCUGUCUGUGUACUGGUUAUAUGUUGCUCUGUCUGUCUGUGUUACUGGUUAUAUGUUGCUCUGUCUGUCUGUGUGUUACUGGUUAUAUGUUGCUCUGUCUAUCUGUGUGUUACUGGUUAUAUGUUGCUCUGUCUGUCUGUGUUACUGGUUAUAUGUUGCUCUGUCUGUCUGUCCUUUACAGAAAUGUUGAUAAAUGUGCAACUGAUACCUUUAAAAAAAUAAACUUAAUUAAAGUAAUAAUAAUAAUGUCUGGAUAAUGUAUAGAAUAUCAAGGUUCAGAGUUUAUAACUGGAUAAUGCACAUGUUGAGGUCCAGUGUGAGGAUAACAUAGCAUCAUAUAGAGAACCAGUGUGUGUAUGACUGGAUAAUGUAGCUUCAUAUAGAGGACCCGUGUGUGUAUGACUGGAUAAUGUAGCUUCAUAUAGAGGACCAGUGUGUGUAUGACUGGAUAACAUAGCAUCAUAUAGAGGACCAGUGUGUGUAUGACUGGAUAAUGUAGCUUCAUAUAGAGGACCAGUGUGUGCAUGACUGGAUAAUGUAGCUUCAUAUAGAGGACCAGUGUGUGUAUGACUGG